CAGCGGUGCGGCUUCUCACCAGUCAGGCUCUGGCCAUACUCCAGGACACAGCAGAUCCUGGGUAUGACCAGAGCCCGACUGUACACUGAUCCAG
rnacentral:pre_miRNA from 1 species